rnacentral:rRNA from 1 species
UACGGAGGAUGCGAGCGUUAUCCGGAUUUAUUGGGUUUAAAGGGUGCGCAGGCGGAUUUUUAAGUCAGCGGUCAAAUCGUGGGGCUCAACCCCAUCCAGCCGUUGAAACUGGGGAUCUAGAGUGUGCGAGAGGUAUGCGGAAUGCGUGGUGUAGCGGUGAAAUGCAUAGAUAUCACGCAGAACCCCGAUUGCGAAGGCAGCAUACCGGUGCACAACUGACGCUCAGGCACGAAAGCGUGGGGAGCAAACAGG